rnacentral:misc_RNA from 1 species
GAUGAAGAACGUAGCGAAAUGCGAUACGUAAUGUGAAUUGCAGAUUUCAGUGAAUCAUCGAAUCUUUGAACGCACAUUGCGCCUGCUAGUAUUCUGGCGGGCAUGCCUGUUCGAGCGUCAUUUCAACCAUCAAGCCCUAGGCUUGCGUUGGAGCCCUGCGGCUGCCGCAGGCUCCCAAAUCCAGUGGCGGGCUCGUCGUCGUACCGAGUGCAGUAAACAUCCUCGCUCAGGGAACGUGACGGGUUCUUGCCGUGAAACCCCCCACAUAUCAAGGUUGACCUCGGAUCAGGUAGGAAUACCCGCUGAACUUAAGCAUAUCAAUAAGCGGAGGA